rnacentral:rRNA from 1 species
UACGUAGGGUGCGAGCGUUGUCCGGAAUUAUUGGGCGUAAAGAGCUCGUAGGCGGUCUGUUGCGUCCGCUGUGAAAACUCGGGGCUUAACCCCCGAGCCUGCAGUGGAUACGGGCAGGCUAGAGUUCGGUAGGGGGAGAUCGGAAUUCCUGGUGUAGCGGUGAAAUGCGCAGAUAUCAGGAGGAACACCGGUGGCGAAGGCGGAUCUCUGGGCCGAUACUGACGCUGAGGAGCGAAAGCGUGGGGAGCGAACAGG